rnacentral:tRNA from 1 species
GUGUCUGUAGCCUAGUGGUCAAAGGCAGCACUCUAGCUGCUGAGGUUGUGGGUUCAAAUCCCACCAGACACA